CAAUAGCGUAUAUUAAAGUUGUUGCAGUUAAAAAGCUCGUAGUUGGAUUUCGGGGCAGCCUGGCUGGUCCGCCGCAAGGCGAGUACUGGUCAGCCGCCCUUCCUCUCGAAAACCCCGACUGCUCUUCGUUGCAGUGGUCGGGUAGUUCGGGACGUUUACUUUGAAAAAAUUAGAGUGUUCAAGGCAGGCCUACGCCUGAAUACAUUAGCAUGGAAUAAUGGAAGAGGACCUCGGUCCUAUUUUGUUGGUUUCCAGGGCCGAAGUAAUGAUUAAGAGGGACAGUUGGGGGCAUUCGUAUUUAAUUGUCAGAGGUGAAAUUCUCGGAUUUAUGAAAGACGAACAACUGCGAAAGCAUUUGCCAAGGAUGUUUUCAUUAA
rnacentral:rRNA from 1 species